AGCUCGAUCUACAGAUUUUUCGGACUCGGAUCUACGGAUAAAUCUUUUUUUGCAUGUGGCAACACUGCUAGCAACGUUGGGUACCUCGUUUCUUGUGUGAGCGAGUGGUUGCUGUUUACGACGUGUUCAUAUAUCGAUUUGUAGUGCUGUAAUGUGCAAAUUAGCGGACUUUAUAGCGGCUCUCUAUUUUCCGUCGUUGUUUUUCGAGCAGCGCCUGUUGUUCCGGUAAAAAUCGAGUUGAAUGAAUCGCCACAGCCCCAACGUAUAUCGCGCAGUGUUGACCAAGACCAAGACAAGCAGGAAUUCUGGCAUGGUAUGUGGCUGCACGGAGGAUUCCGAAAAAGAAAAACAACAACGUGGCUAAUAGGAUGUUGCUGCCCAGGGAGUCCUGGCCGAAGAGGUUUACUCAUUCCAGAAGCAAGAAUUGUACCAUUGUAAGGCGAAUGGAAAUAAACUGACAUCGAC